rnacentral:lncRNA from 1 species
UUUUCUUAUAAGUAUUUUUAGAAGUAGAUUAAAUUUUUUAGCCUUUUCUUAGCCCAAUUAUAUAGAAUUUUUAGCCCAAAUUGAAUUCUUGCAAGGGGCCCAAUUUUUAAGCCUAACAAGACCUAACGCAUUUCCCAUUCCUCUUAAACCCAUACACCCUAACCCAAAAGAUCUUCUUCUUCUACACCCUAGCUAAACCCUAAUUGGACAACCCUAAAAGACCCCUUAACCAAAAGCUGCCACACCAGCCCCUCCUCCACACCGCCGACCCCUGCUUCUUCUCCACCCAUUUUCCCUCACUCCAAACGUCCACCAACUCCACACGCCACUGCCCACCUCCAAACAACAACACACACACAUAGAACUAAUAGAGCAGUUGCCGCCAGUCACCAUUGAACGCUAGCUGAUCCGCCGCCCUACCCUCUGAUCUCUUCGACCUACCUCCAGCCUUCUUCUUCACCUUGACCAACUCUAAGACAACAACCAUCGCCGGACACCCUUCCAACACACAGCAAAUAGCUACCGGCAACAAUCAACCUAAGACUUCUCCAUCUCUAGCGCCGGUGACAAUCUUCAGUCCAAAAAUGAGAGAAACAGGAGGCUGAAAACAGUCAGAAAAGAAAAUCAAAGAAAAAUGGGGUUUUCGUUUUUAUUUUAACUUUCAUUCUCUGAUUUUCAAUUGAGUCUAGACUCAUUUUUGAAUUCAAACGUGAGAUACAUAAUGAAAAUUAAGGCGUUUCUUUUAGUGUUGGUUUCUGAAAUGGGUUGGAGUUGAAACGGGUGCUCAAUCAUUGGAGUUGUCGCCCGAGGUCCGGUCAGUCUGUCGCCAGUAGUAGUCCAAUAUGUUUGAUUCAAUUUUAUAUGGCAAACUGAGGUUUAUUUCUUCCUUCUGCUAUUUUGCUUAGUGUUUGCUUUUAUUGUGUUAUUAUUUUGUUGUUGCUCUAUUUUGCUGAAGGUUAUCUGUUUCACUGCUCUUUUUCGAUGACUUCUUGAUAUUUGAUGCUCCAUUUCUUUUUGUUAAUUGGUUAGCCUCUGUUCUAAUGAAUUUAAUGGUUAGAUAAGUUUAAUUGCUUAUUUUAUUAUUCAUUAAGAGAUAGAUAUUUAAGGUUUUGAGUAACAUUUUGGUGAUUCUAGAGUUAAAUUAAUUUAUUAAUUGAAUUGGGUGAUGACAUAGAUAGUAAAACAAGUAUGUGGCCAGGGGAUUGGAUUGGAACUUAAAAGUUAAUUGAAAUAUUUUAACUGCUCUUUUAAUUAAUUGAACUGUUAGGAGCAUGUUUAGGCCGGCCAUACUUAGGUAGGCAAACCUUAGGAUUUUUGUUAGUUUUGAGGCGAGAGGUGGUUCCUUUAGUUAAAUUUAUCCGGGGAAUGCCCUGAAGGAUUUGUAUAUAUUUUAUUCCGGAGAAUGCCCCGUAGUAUUCUGUAAUUGGAGACCGAAAGCGAACUCGUUGUACUUUUAUUCUUAUUUUAUAUUUGUUUUUAUCUUUCUUUUAUUAGGUGGGAACGAUCUCGAGCCUCUUGUGUGUUUAUUUUCAUUUUUCUGUGUUUAUAUUUACUUCAAUUUGAAUGUUUUAAAAGCCAACUAAAUCGAGUAUGAAACCGUACUAGUUAUGGGACUUGGGGAGUGCCUAACACCUUCUCCCCGAGUCAAAUGAACCCGCUUACCCAAAUCUUUGGUGCAGACUUAAUUUGGAGUCUAAAGUAUUUUAAAAGGAAUUUUUUUUUUUAAAUAAACGGUGACUUGGCACACCAAAACAAAUGUCAGGUGGUGACCCUGAGUUAUUUUCUUUUGAACAAAACUUUGUCACUUUCUAAUUAAAACCCCUUUUGAGCUUAAAAAAAUCUUUUUAUUAAUUUAAGAGGGUUAGUGAAGUUGGUUAAAAAAGGGGGUAUGACAGCCUACAACAACAGUUAUCAGUCCAUCAUUCAGAUGACACCGUAUGAGGCUCUGUAUGGUAGGCAGUGUCGGUCCCCAAUGGGUUGGUUUGAGCUGGGUGAGGCCAGAUUGUGUAUGAACUUGGUUCAAGAUGCCUUAGAAAAGGUUAAGGUGAUUCAGGAUAGAAUUCGCACAGCUCAGUCCAGACAGAAGAGUUAUGCAGACCAGAAGGUUCGUGAUGUGGCAUUCAUGGUUGGAGAAGGGGUCUUGCUCUAGGUUUUGCCUAUGAAGGGCGUUAUGAGGUUUGGAACGAAUGGCAAGUUGAGCCCAAGGUUUAUUGGUCCCUUUGAGGUGCUGCGGCGAGUUAGGGAGGUUGCUUAUGAGCUUACCUUACCUCCCAGCCUAGUAAGAGUUCAUCCGAUAUUUCAUGUUUUGAUGCUCCGGAUGUAUCACGGCGAUCCAUCCCAUGUGUUGGAUUUCAGCUCAGUCCAGUUGGACAAGGAUCUAUCUUAUAUUGAGGAGCCAUUAGCUAUUUUUGGACAGACAUGUUCGAAAGAUAAGGUCAAAGAACAUUGCUUUAGUGAAGGUUCAGUUGAGGGGUCAGCCGGUCGAGGAGGUGACUUGGGAUAUCGAGCAGGAUAUACGCAACCAUUAUCCUCAUCUUUUCACCACUUCAGGUAUGUUUCUAUGGCCGUCCGAGGAUGAAUGACUGUUUUAAGAGGGGGAGGAUGUAAUUAUCAGGCUGGUCGUUUUGAGAAUUAUAACCCCGAUCCCCUAUUAACUUCUUCCCCCAUAUUUAUUUUUGCUAUUGUGACUUGCCGGGAGGUUUCGUUUUGGUUUUUGGAGUGUUUUAGGACACUUAGUCCUUAAAUGAAGGUUUAAGUCUUAGAAUUUGGACCGUAGUCAGUACUGUGUGAAGACGACUUCGGAAUAGUGUUUUGAUUUGUCAAUUUUGUUAGCUCCAUUGGGUGAUUUUGGACUUAGGGGUGUGUCUAGAUUAUGUUUUGGAGGUCGUAGCUUAUUUAGGCUUGAAAUGGCGAAAGUCAAAUUUUUGGAUAAUCGAACCGGUAGUGGAAUUUUUUAUAUCGGGGUUGGAUUCCGAUUAUGGAAGUUGAAGUAGGUCCACAAUGUUGAAUAUAACUUGUGUGCAAAAUUUUGAGUCAUUUGGACGUGGUUUGAUAGGUUUCGACAUCGGUUUUAGAGAUUGGAAGUUUCAAGUUCUUUAAGUUUGAAUUUGGAGGGUGAUUUGUGAUUUUAGCGUUGUUUGAUGCGAUUUGAGGGCUCGACUAAGUGCUAUCAGAGUUCUGGUGUUUUCGCACCUGCGGUGGGGAGACCGUAUGUGCGGAAGAUCAAGCACAAAAGCGGAUUUGGAAGGCAUGUUCAAGGGUCGCAGGUGCAAGGAAGAAGUCGCAUCUGCGAUGCCCACAGAUGCAUUACAGGACCCGCAGAAGCGGAAGGAGACUGUAGAAGCGGACAUGGGUCCUCAGGUGCGCACACGCAGGUGCGAUCCUUUAAUCGCAGAAGCGGACGCUGGAUUUUUAAGUGAAAUCCGCACCUGUGAUAGAAAUUCCGCAGGUGCAGUGAAGCAGGUGCGAUGGAUGGUCCGCAGAUGCGGAAUAAUUGGGCAAAAAGGGCUAAGUGCGAGAGUUUGACUUCAUUCUCCAUUUUUGGAUCUAGAGAGCUCAGAUUAAGGCGAAAUUUCGAGAGAUUUUCUAAGGAAGUUUUGGGGUAAUGAUUCCUAACUCGUUUUGGUUGUAUUCCAUUCAUCUAUAGUUGAUUUCAUCAUUAAAUUAAGGAAUUGGGUGAGAAAUUUGGGUCAGAAGGGAGGAAGUUCUUCAAUUAAAUUUUUGAGUUUUUAUUGGGAUUUUGAUGUCGGAUUUGGAUAAUUUUGGUACGAGUGAACUCGUGAGUGAAUGAGGGUUUUUGAUAUGUGAGCACCGUGUAUCUGAGGUGACGAGUACGUACACGGGCUAGUUAUUGUAUAACCCGAUUUCUGCUAAGUAAUAACCAGUUUUCCUUCUUAUUUAAGUUAUAUCAGCAUGUGUUUUAUCCUGUUAGCUUAGAAUAGCAUGUCUACUUGUCUUAAUUGUUUAUCUGGAAUCUGUGCAACAUGUUUAGUGAAUCCCCUGUUUUUCCUUGAUUUGAACUUAGUCUAAACUGGAGGUUUUCUUGCUGCAGCUGUUAUUUUCGUUGUUUGAGCUUCAUAUUUACUUUGGGAUGACGGAACGGUAUUCCGGGAGAUCCCCUAUCUUGAAUUUACUUUGGGACUACGGAAUGGUAUUCCGAGAGAUCCCCUUGCACAUUUACGUUUGGGAUUACGAGACGGUAACUCGGGAGAUUCCCGGUUGUUAUCUCUGUGUACUGAGCUGUUAAAUUCUAUGAUUUCAUUCUUGUUGAAUUUCAGUUUUUAUUUUAUUGUGAUAUUUCAUUUUGUCUUGUUUUUAUUAUAUAUAUACCAUAGGGCCUAACCUGAUCUCGUUACUACUCGACCGAGGUUAGGAUUUACACUUACUGGGUACCGUUGUGGUGUACUCAUGCCCUUCCCUGCACAUGUUUUUCGUGUGCAGAUCCAAGUACCUCCUACCAGCUGCGUUCUUAGUUGCUUAGUUGCUGCCAUUCCGAAGACUUCAAGGUACAUCUGCCGCGUCGGCAGACCUCGGAGUCCUCUUCUAUCCUUUCCGAUGUUGCUUCCCUUUUAUUUAUUCUAGUACAGAUGUAUAGAACAAUUAGAGAUUCGUAGAAGCUUAUGACUUACGGUGUUCUGGGUCGGGUCUUGGGAGUGUUAUGUACAUUUCGAGAGUGAUUAUUGUAUAUGCUGAGUGACAUCUCAAAUAUCUUAUUUACUUUAUCUGUUUCUGUUGGUCGUAAAUCUUUAUGUUCUGCAUUUUAUUUUCCACAAAUAAUAGGUCUAUCUAGUCGUAGAGACUAGGUGUUGCUACAACAAUUCACGGAGGGAGAAUUUGAGUCGUUGACAGACACUUUCCCGACCGUUUAUUGUUGUGAUAUUUGUCGAGACCAACAAUAAUUGGUGUCCAACUUUUUGGCAGUGUAUGAGACCUCAACUUCAAUAAAUAAACAAAAUACGUGUUAUACCAAAUGUUUCUUUCACCUUUUUGAUAAAUUUGUAAACAAAAAUAACCCAAAACAAAAAAAGAUGAACUAUUUGUCUCUUGAUAUUGUAAAACUGGUACUCCACAAAAUAUCAAUAAUUUGUAAAGAUUCAUGUCUACUGAAUUUCGUUUUCGGAAACAUUAGUCCUUGAAUAUUGAAAAUUGUUAAUUUAAUCCUUGUAAUAUAUGAAAAUAGUACUCAUUUGACCUCAAUAAUUUAAAAUGUGUAACUUUUUUACGUAUAUGCUUGUGAAUAUUCACAACUUUGCUGAAUUCUAAAUCGUUACACCAUUUAGUUAGCAACGUGAUAUAUUACACAAAUGGUAUUCAUAUUUAAUUAAUUAAAUUAAAAAAAAAUAAUACUCCUACAUAUUACAGUCAAACUUCUCUAUAACGGCAUUCCUGUAUAACAACAUUUUACGAUAAAAGUCAAACUUUUCUGGAACUAAUUUUCAUGUUAUGUUAUAAUAUAUGUGUUCUAUAAUAGCAUUUUGCUAUAAUAUUUAUAAAUAUUUAGAACAAACGAGAUUAUUAUAAAGAGGUUUGACCGUAAUAAAGUGAACUGCGUGGAAAGACGGAAAAUUUCACAAAGUCCCAACAUUUUAGUUUUGCUUAUUCCGUACUACAUCUGUCGAAAAAGUAUACUCCUCCGUAUUAUCUAGUCAUGAAUGUGUCCAAGCAAUUCACAUCAUGACACGUAGCCCCUAUGUUUUCGCAUAUAUGAUCAAAUAAUUCCCCGAAGACUAAGGGUGGGCGUUCGGACAGUUCAGAUUGAAUAUGAAAAUUAUAAUUUAUAUAUUUGGUUUUUGGAUUAAAUAAAUGAAAAUCCAAAUCCAAAAGCUCGGAUUGGAUCGAAUUUUUUAAGUUCAAUUUUGGAUUAAUCGGAUUGGAUAUUUUCGAUUUUCAGUUUUGAGCCUGUAAGUUUAAAUGUUUCUUCUUCUUAAAAAAAUAAACAUUUAAAUAAAGUAUUCAUGUUAAGUUACCUAAAAGUUCCUCAUUCUCACUGCUUCAUCCAAAUAAUAUAUUCAAGUAAUGAAAUCAUUAUAAAAAAAUACAACAAAGACAUUAAUAGGGCCGAUAAGAAAUGUAAUGGUAAAACUAUGUCCAAAUAGAAAGUAUUCUAACAGUAACAUAGUAAUUAGUACUAAAUAUAUGAGAUAAUAUCGAAUGGAUAGGGUAUUGGACAUAUUAUUAUUGGCAUAUGGAUAAUGGAUUAAAUAUAAAGUAUAAAAAUUUCAAAUUUUCAGAUAUCCAAAAAUUUGAAGUACUAAAUACAAUAUCUAAUUCGAAAUUCAAAAAAAUUAAAAAUUAAAUCCGAAAUUUUCAUAAUACAAACCAAAAAUCCAAAAAAUUCGGAUGUCAGUUUGGAAUUCGGGUUUGCUCCAAUUAUGUCCACCCCUACUCAAGACGACUAUGUUAAAUUAUAAACGUGAUGAAAUUUAAGAAGAGAGUGAGGUUUUGAUUGUGAUGGUAAAUACCACGUCUUACGGUGUGGUUUUGUCCUUUUGUCACAAUUGCACCCGCACUUAUACAUAGAGAAUCACAAAAGUAACAAGUGGUUGUCAAGAUGCGAAAAUUGGGGAUGGCAAGUGGGGCAGUGUUGUGCAAUACAGAUGUGAUAUGAGUUUUGUUUUAAUCCGUAAAAUUUAACCUGUCACGUUCCGCUUCUCGUAACAUUUUUACUUACGUCUAUCUACAAGUUCGAAAACGUGAUUCUUUUGAAACGUGUAAAAAAAAAGAUGGUGACCAUUUUAUAU